UGGAGAGUGGCUCAGCGGUAGAGCACUUGCCUGGUGUGCAGGAGUCCCUGGGCUCAAUCCCCAGGGCUGCAA
rnacentral:tRNA from 1 species